GUGCUCUCUACUUCCUGUUCAUGGAUCGGGAUGUAAACUCUCAGUAGCUGCUCCAUUGCCAUGCCUGCCUCUCUGCUGCCAUGCUCCCUGCCUUGGUGGUGAUGGGCUGUCAACACUCUGGAAUCGUGAUUACAGUUAAGAGAUUGCAUGAAUCUCUGAAGAGACUUUAAAUACAAUGAUAUUGUUACAAACUUUUGGGGGCCAGGGAGUGGAAAGAAAGAUAAAAGGUUAGAAAGAAAAAUGGCUUCUAAAGGAAGUGGCAUUAUUAGGAGGUGUGGCCUUGUUGGAGGAAGUAUGUCACUGUGGAGGUGGGCUUUGAGGUCUCAAGCCUUGCCUAGUGUCUCAGACUACUUCCUGUUUCCUGUGAGUCAAGACGUAAAAACUCUCAGCUCCUUCUCUAGCACCGUGUCUGUCUGCAUGUUGCCUUGCUUCCCACCAUGAGGAUAAUGGACAAAACCUGUGAACUGUUAACCAGCUCCAAUUAAAUGUCUGGCUCCUCUGUCACACAGUUUGUGCCUAUCAUAGCUCUAGUCACCAGACUCCUCUCCUAUUCCCUUCAGCUCUUGAUGUACCAAGUGUCUGGUCUUCCAUCACUAACCAUUGUCAGGGGCUCAGACAGAACUGGCCUUGGCCCUGAGCAGCCGCAGACCAAAGAAAAUGGAUGUUUACUCUCAGCCCCAGCUUCAUCAAGACAGUAGAAGCUAGGAGCCCGGGCAUUAGCAGUGCAUGAGAGAGAGUGUGUGUGGCAAGAAUCUCUUACAAGUGGUGGGUGCUGGGUGCCUAGAACUAGCCUAGAGCAGAAGGUGAGAUGCAAAUGACAAGCAGCAGGGUUUCUCUGUGUAGCCCUGGGUGUUCUGGAACUCACUUUGUAGACCAGGCUGGUCUCAGUCUCACAGAGAUCCACCUGCCUCUGCCUUUGCCUCCCAAGUGCUGGAAGGUGUGUGCCACUACCCAACCAAGCAGCAUUUUAAAAGCUCCCAGUGCCAACUAAAUCAGAGUCUCUGAUGAUGGACUCAGAUGCAGACAUUUUGAAAACCUCCAGGAAACCACCUGGAAAAUGUGCCAUUCAGACAACGUGGUCCUGGGGAACGGGAGUAUGUUGCCCCCUUUUCACAGCCUUGCAGAGGUGGAACUUGGACUCUGGAUAAGGCAAGUGUCUGGCACAACUAUGUAUUUCUUAAAGAGGUGGGAGGCCCCUGAGGCAGGUCUCAGUAUGGUUCUGCCUUGCUUUUUGACAGGGAUAAGUUUCAAGAAACCUGUAGAUAGGUGAUUUUCUGUGUUGCUAGCACAGCAAGGUACAUUCACAGAACAUCAACUGCACUGUGUUCAGCUGCCUCGGGGCAAGGCGCUCAGAGGUGUGUGGUUCUGUGUCACUACCUAGACCUUUGAGGCAUACAGCAGCAAAGCUAAAAUGCUACCUAAGGCCUGUCUUCAGGCAAGCAAUGGCUUAUGAGGGGCAGAGCGAUGGGCCCAAGGUGUGUGAAAUACGUGGUCACCCACAUGGCCAUCCAUAUGGUAGGGUUUUUUAUGCCUGCAUGCCUGUCUUUUGUUUGUUUGUUUUGUUUUGUUUUGUUUUUUUGAGACAGAGUUUCUCUGUGUAGCUUUGGAGCCUAUCCUGGCACUCGCUCUGGAGAUCAGGCUGGCCUCGAACUCACAGAGAUCCGCCUGCCUCUGCCUCCCGAGUGCUGGGAUUAAAGGCGUGAGCCACCAACGCCCGGUUCGCAUGCCUGUCUUAUGUGUGUGGUCAACUUUCAAGUAAAAGUUUGUUUUAGAUGCUUCACUCACAUGUGUUCUUGACCUUUUGUUUCCUAAUUCCUCAAGGACAGUGCCAGGCCUGAUGGGAAAAUAAAAUCUUCAGUGCUUUCAUCUUUGAGAUUUUGCUGUAAACUGGCAUGUGGACAAACACAGUAAAUGAUAAAUUCAGCUUCCAUGCAGCACUGUCCCAGGGCCAUGUGAGAUAAGCUAGGGCUGACGGCGUGGAGCCAGAGCAGACCCAGGUAUAUAGUUCUGUGGCAGAAUACUGGCUGAGAAUGUCUCUGGGAUUCCCUGUAGAUUUCCAUCCACUUCAUUUGUCUUUGAUACCUCUGCUCUGACGGCCAUCAGAAAUUACUCUAGACUGUCAUAAAUCAAAAUGGGCACUUCCUCCUUUUCUCUCCCUCACAUAAAUGCCUUACUCUGUAUGGAAUGACUUGGGUCAGCAGAAGUACAUUGAGAAAGCAUAGUAUUUUUUCCUCUGUUCCAGUACAGAACCAAAAGCAGUCAAUCUCUGUGUACAUAAGCCUCUGCAUAGGCCAUGGCGCUUUGUGCACAAACGAGGAAGUGGUGACGCCCUCAGGAAUGAGUUUCAUUUUUUAAAUCUGGUAACAUGCAGUCACUUCCAAUGGGCGGUGGGAUGUGAAAUGCAUGGCCACCCUACCCAUAUGGCACAUUUUUCUAUAUUCACAUGUUCAUCUUGGGUGUGUGGUCAAUUUACAAGUUAAAAAUUGAAUCGGGGACUUUACUUGUGUUUCUAUGACUUUGUGCUUUCUAACUCCUUUGUCUCAUUUUCUCUUACCCAUGUUUCUCUAUAGAAUGCUUGGCUGAGGGAAGAAAAGGCUACUUUCUGGGACAUGACUCAUUACCCCCUCCCAAAUUAGACACUGAGCUCACCUGGGCAGCUGUUGUGUCUGAUGGCAACCCGGGCUAUAGAAGUUUAAUGAAUGAAUGAUGUUAACCCAGGCUAUAGCUUAAUGAAUGAAUGCCACUCUUGGAAUGAUGUUGGAGUGUCCCAGACUAGACUCACUAGGACAGCACAGAUAGACUAAAUACUUCCAUCAUUGAUGGCAGGGCUGAGUACCGAGGCCAGCAACCUGGGCCAGGAAUAUGGGUACCAUUAGGAAGUGCUAUGGGUGUUCUGUGGGGACAGGAAACAGUCUCACAGGGUAUGUAGACUCUGUCACAUUCUCCAUGCCUCCUGGGAGUCAGAGGGAGUGCCGAAGAGUGUCAUGUGAGGGUGUGGGGAGUCAUCCAAAGGAGGAAAAAGCUAGAGGAAACUAAGAGAUUUCAGAUGUCUGGAGGCAUUAGCAAUCGGGGUCAUGCAUCUGGCUCCUUGUAUAGACCAGGCUGGGAACAGCAUCUACAGGCCCAGGAUAGGGAAGGAGGAAGAGAUGCACAGGUACCACAGCAAAAGGAAGCCAUAGAGGUUUUUGUUUCUAGCCCCUCCCCUGGGCCAUGAGGAGGAGGCUUCCAUUCUUAAAGGGUUUGCUAGAUUCAAGGUAAAGGAAGCCCCAGGUGAGCCUUUGGCCAGGUGCCUGUUAGGACACUUAAUAUUCCCCUGGAAACAGCUCCUUGGAAUUUCCCAAGAGCCUUUGGGUAACCAUAUAGCCCACGGGUGAGGAAGCCAAUCCCCCCCCCCCCAAGGGGACCUGGAAGACUUGAAACUGGAAUUGCAAUACCACUGCCUGGAAUGGAUUGGAGAUGUCUUAUGCUGUGGAUGCUGUGACCAUAAAUGUUGAUGGGCCGGGGCCAGGAGCCUCCUACCCUUCUGGCUUCACUAUCAGAUUUUCUGAUGAGGACUUUCAGGGCUUUCCGAUAAGAUUCUGGGGCUUGGAAGACCGUUCAGUAAAGAUGGCAUGGGGUCAUGUAUACAGCCUCUGUGUUACUAGAUUGAUUGUGUUCCCCUAGAGUGCAGUCUCCACCCCUUCCCAGGGACCCCUGCUGGUCUAACAUUAAAUGAGCAACACAUUCC
ensembl:lncRNA